UGCAACUAUGUAUUCUAUUGUUUUUUGUUAUUACCUGUGAGUUAAGCAAUAUAAGCAUGCGUUGCAUUUAAAUCGACAACAUAACAAGCUUAUGUCUUCUUUGUAAAUCAAAACAUUGCAUGACAUGAUAAUAUACAAAUUAUUGUCUGAGAACUAGGUCGGUGCAUUUAUCAAAGGUCAGCAAAAUCAUAUUUAAGCAAGCGAUUCAGAUCAAUUGUAGAAAGUUGUAAAUUUUUGUGGAUUGAGAUUAUCGGUUUAAACAUUGAAGAUUAUUUUAGAUUCUGAAAAUUGGUUUAAUUUAAAUAAUUAACUAAAAUGCAAAUUAGUUCAUUUUUUUCAGUCAUCGUUUUAAUAACUUCUUUAAAUUGUUUACAACCAACAACCUCAUCUAGCAUUGCAUUAGCCGAAAUAAACUUCAGCAAAAAUCUUGACUUGGCCAGACCAAGAGGAAACGAACCAUUUAAAAUAAGAAACAUACUCGAAUUGAUGUUGGAAAUAAUGGACAACUUGCAAUUUGGAGGAAGAAGAAAGCCAACACUUUCAAUCAAUUAAAUUAAAAAAAACUAAAGUUUUGGUCUUAAAAGCUAAAUUUUUUUAUUAUUUUUUUGUUCGUUUUUAUCAAACAUUUUUUUAAUUUUUUUUUUUUUUGUAAUAUAAUUAAAACAAUGUUUAAUAGAUAAAAGCUAAAUAAUAUACUAAAACUAAUCUAAAUCUAAUAAAGUGUUAAUAUUAUUGUUGUAUAUAAA